GCCGCUGCAAAAACAGCGGCUGGACGUGGAAGUCCGGUAGCCGGUUACAUCCAUCAAUGACUCAAAAGCACAUGUUGACGUUCUUUAU
rnacentral:sRNA from 1 species